rnacentral:rRNA from 1 species
UACGGAGGAUGCAAGCGUUAUCCGGAUUUAUUGGGUUUAAAGGGUACGCAGGUUGUUUGAUAAGUCAGUGGUGAAAGUCUGUCGCUUAACGGUAGGAUUGCCAUUGAUACUGUUAGACUUGAAUAUGGAUGAGGUAGGCGGAAUGUGUAGUGUAGCGGUGAAAUGCAUAGAUAUUACACAGAACACCGAUUGCGAAGGCAGCUUACUAAUCCAUCAUUGACGCUGAGGCACGAAAGCGUGGGGAGUCAAACAGGA